AGAGAAUUUGUCCCAUCCAGACGCCGCGCCCGCACCCAACGCAACCCAAUCCCCUCGUCCCGCACGCCGUGCACACUUCGGUCCCCUCAUCCCACACGAACCCUAGGAGAGAGAGAUAGGAAGAUGAGAGGGAGAGAAAGGGGAGAGGAGAGGAGAGGGAGGUCCGGCAGCGGACGGGAGAGGGUGACCGGCCGGCGUCGGCCUACACCGGCGAGGCGUCGGCCUGCGCCCCUCCUCGCGCACGAACCCUAGCUGAGAGACAAAAUGAGGAGGAGAGAGAGAAGGAAGGAGAGGAGGGAGAAAGAUAGAGGAAAGAGGAAAGGGAGGUGCGGCGGCUGACAGGAGAGAGGGUCAUCGGCCGGCGCUGGAGAGGAUGGGCCCAACCUGGACGCGACCUGGAGGUUGGCGGCGGCUCGAUCCACUCCUGGAUCGGGACCUGCGACGAGGCUGGGGCUCGGGCGCGUUGUACGGGAGGCUGCACUCCGCCUCUUCCUCGUUAGCUCUUCUUCUUCACUGCCUUAAUUACCAGGACAACCAUUUUGUUGCUUCCUUUACAAAUAGAGUGUGUUAGACUUUCUCUUUGUUUGUCUCAUCUCCUUCUUAAGUGACUGGUUCCUGCACGGUUAUUGGCUUCUCCAAUGGAUCAUGUAGGUAGAAACUAAAAAGAACUGGAUAAUUUCUUUUACCCUUCUUUUAAUUUCAAUAGGAUUCCCGAGUUCAGAAUUGACAAUUCACAUCAGUAAUCAGUACAGAGCAGAUCAAUUGAUUUUCAUAAAAACGCAUAUUAGAAUUAUCAUUGGAUUGGUUUUCAUGUGCCUUUAUUAGACAUAUAGUGCAGAGGGAGUAAAUUAGUUUCACAGAAUGUUUCCUUGGAUUUUAGUUGCACUUCAUUCUGUUGUUUCGGUCUUUGUACAUUCAGAUGCUUUUUAAUUCAAAAGGAAACAACUCACAGAGGUUAUGUAUGGGAGGCUACACUCUGCCUCUUCCUCGUGGUGCGGCGGACGGCGGCUCUUGCGGUCGUGUGCUGACGACGGCCUCAGCGGGUGGGCGACCAAUGGCGGUGCCAGGGGUUAGCUGUGUAGGCAACUGACUACACAACAUAUUGGCAUGCAUUAGUAGACAUCAAGCAAAAACCAGUUUUCACACAUGCAUAAGUAUUUGACAUCACAACGUUGAACUCUUGCCUUCACCACUGUGGGCGACUACACUUGCAGCUGGCGCUUCGCCACUGUGGGCGACUACACUUGCAGCUGGCGCUAUACCCAUGGAUUCCGGCAUUAGCUCGAAACGCUCAGGACAAAUUAGGUCUCGACCAAUGGUGGAGAAGACAGAGUACAGGGAUGAGCCGCUCGAGCAUGGUUUGAUGGGAUGUUCGCGCGCAAGAUGCAGAAGUUCGCCAGAAGGAAGAAGAGCUGGGCGUCGAGGAGGAGAAGAAGGUGGUAUGCGAGGUGCUUGUAGGCCCAGCAGCAGGAGGCCGUCCUUGAGGUGCUCCUCUGGAUGAUCCCUUCCGGCGCUGGGUCUACGUGUUCAAUGCUGCCCUCACCAUCCCCUUCUUCCAUUGGCUCAUCGGCCCGUCAGAGUUCAGAGAUCUAAUACUCCGCACUGCCUCCCAUCCAUUUUCAGAUAUAUAUAUAUUUAUAUAAGGUUUAUCAUCACCCCAUGGAUCAUGUGUUGUUGAUUGACCAGGUUAUUGAGGUGGAGGUCAACGGGGUGAGGAACAGAAGUGGAGUGCUCAUAAAGAAACGAAGCUGCUCCCUGGACUCGCCAGUGCCGCCGCCUCCAGUCGCUUCCGCCUAGGCAUCCCGUCGCUAGCAAGAUUGAACUGACCAAUCCGUGUGAUUGAGGAAUCCUUGUGGAGAAAAAGAAUUCAAGGAACUCCACAUCUCCGAGUACAGAGGUGAUAAAUCGAAUCAAUCGAGCAACGCUCUGGUGAUCUAUUCAUCUACAUUUCCUGAUAUGCAUGUAUUCCCUGUUUUUCCUCUGCUGGUUCAGCUUUGUUAAACUUAUAGCAGAUAUAAAAUACCUGUAUAUAUAUGCUUAGAACAAGCAAAAUUAGCACUCUCUAUCUUGAGUUGUCAAUUUGAUUUACAUACACAUGUCACUAGACUAUGCAUCAUCAAGCAGAAUGUUUAUGUGUGUUGCCACUAACAAAUUGUAUCAAAUCUUGUGUUAAAACAAUGUUAUCAAAUUAACUUUCCAACCAGGAUUUCAAGAAAAAAAAAGUGUGCUGGAGCAAGAAAGGGAACAUGGUAAGGACUGUGCCUACAAGAGUUUCUCUGUUCUUAUUGGUUGCCAUAUGCAGCUUGCGGGUCUCAACUUAAUAAAUACAUCAACCGUGUACAGAAGGAAAAACUCAUUACAUGAAUCCUGAGUAGGUAUUUUCAGUCUUUCGCAAUGUAAUUUAUUUAUUUUUCUCUCAUAAUAUGUUAAAUGUAGGGAAAGGCUGCGUACUAUAGACCCAAAGUGGUCGGACCCUUCCCUGGACCCUGCGCAAGCGGGAGCUACAUGCACCAGGUUGCCCUUUUAUAAUAUGUUAGGUUCGACAUUGGAAAAUAUUUGGCAUGAAUGGAGUUGAUUUAAAUCUUGAAAGACUUCGAUUGAGACCUAUGUUUAUGUGUGUUGCCAGCCAAUUGUGGAAACUGAAAGUAGAGACACAAUUCACAUAAUAAGUAACAACUUCCAAUCCAAGUUUAACAACCACAGCUCCAUUCUAGAUUGAUGUUUAAGUUCUGAAGUAUCGCUCUCCAGAUUUCUGUCUGUUUCCAUUUUAGCUCGUUUUGUAGGUAUGCUUUAGGCAAAAUUUGGUCUGCGAAGAUACUGUUUCAGCAAAGGGCAAAGGGAAAAUCAUCAAGUUCGAUGAUCCAGUUUUUGUUCCAUAGGAUUCCCUUUUUCAAAUGAAUCUCCUACCUGAAAAAGGGCAUGGUAGUGGAUAUUGUAUCUGUUUUAUGUGCAUUAGAAGAGACGACCGGCUGGUUGAUUUUGUGCACAUAUUCUGUAAAUUCAACUUACCAAUAAAGCUUUGACAGGUGUGUUCGUUGUGCUCUUCAUUUCAAACAACACAUCAUCUAUGAUUCUUUAAUCUGUUUAUUUGGCGUACUGUAGAACUUGUUUCUCCGUGUACUAAAACACAUACCUGUAAAAAAAGUGAUUGAGUUAAAAUAACUCCCGAUUUAAGUUAGGAUUGAGCGAAAUUACCUAAAGGGCUAUGUCCAUCUUCCACAAAUGGUGUAAUCAACUCCCCUGCAAUGUUUCUUGCUUGUAGAACAAGAUUCUUGAUGUUGCUUAUGGUGCCCCUUUGGGCUUCUUCUUCAAUGGUCCCACGCCGGCCCAAAUAAUAGAUGUCUUGCUUAUUUAUUGGUGCUCCUUGGACCCCUCUCUUCUAUUACAAAAAAGGGGUUUACAGCAACUUGUGUUUUGGGGCUUAACAAAGUACAAUUGCCUUUGUCUUACAUAACUCAUUUUUGUGUAUCCAGGUCAUAUUGCCAGCACAUUCCAAGCGGAAUGGAGUGCCCAGUUUUGUCCAGAAAGCUGAGGCCUUCUGGUGGUUUAGCAUGAUAUUUCCUUAGUUGUCUUUUUGACUAGAAGAAGGAAGAAGUGUUGCUUGACUGGAAUGAGAUCACAAAGGAAUCUGAGACGAGCUUUGCUACAUAAAGUAGUCUGAUGUGAUCUCCAUAUUCAUACAUAAUAUAUCGAUUGGGUGUUUUUUGUAACUUAUGCAGGUUAUGUGCACAUUAGAAGUUGUCAAAUAUCUCCUGGUCAUAGGUAUCUUGCAUAUACUCUUGAUACAUCUAGGGGAAACUGUUUUCGCUGGAACUGAAAGAUCUUCAGUCUAGGUAUGUUAUGCCAAAAAAAAGACAACAAAGGAGUAUAAAUCGCCUGAACCGCGUCUAAGUAUGUUAUCAGAAAUAAAUAAUUUCUGCCCCAUAGCUGAACCAUGUCUUUUCUCAGUGUGUAUAUAUGUUAGAGAUGUGUAAGAUUCAGAUAAUUUUCUUCAUUUGUUAACUUUACCAAUGUAUGGCUGACAUGCUUCAUUAUGUUAUAUCACAUCUGAAAGUGCAUUAUACCUGUGGUUUAUUAGAAUGUAUAAUUUCGGUCAAAUAAUUGAGUUGUUCUUUUCUUCGGUGUAUAUACAAGUUACAGAUGUGCAUGAUUAUGUUUAUUCUCUACAUUUGGUAAAUUCACCUAUGUAUGGCUGACAUGCUUCUUUAGGUUAUGUUUCUAAAGCUCCAUGCUUAAUCAUCCAGACUGUUUCCAAGUGACUACUUUACACAUGGGAGACUGGAUGCCUGGAGGAGUUCAGAGAAGCUGGUGUUAUGUUACAUAUGGUCUUCAAGCUAAUGUUAUGUUUCUUGCAUGGUUUGUAUAUUUGUUGCAAAAACAUAGUACAAGAAAAAGAUCUAUGCUCAUGAAGAUGGCAGAAGGGAACUACAUGUGGAACUAGAACCACCAGCGCUGACCAGUUGGGCAUCUGGAUAGUGGUAGUGAACAAAAAUUGCUUGCCAUAUAGAGUCAAUGUAUUCUACUACUAUCACACUCGCUGAUUUUUAUGUUAUGAAAUUAUAGUUCAACCAUAGUAUGUAUUUACACUCCUGCUGUGAGAUUGUACUAUGUAAAUUAUGGGAGGACAAUAUAGGUCUUUAUAUGCAAAAAACUCCUUGUUGAAAUGAGUAACUUGAGCCAUUUGGCACAACAGGUCUAUUUUCUUACUUGCAAUAAUGUGCAUUGCCUUUUAUUCUA